GGAACACCUGUCACUACACCAGAUUGUUCAAGGUCUUAUCUAACCUAUCCUUUUAAUGCAUUAUUGUUAAAGCAAUUUUGUACCUAGUUUCCUUAACACAAAACUGGAAAAAACAAAAACUCAAAGCGAACCCUUCUUGGGUUUAAGCAAAAUGUACCACAUUUCAAGUCCAUAAUACCGCUUAGUAUUAUCUAAAGACUCUUCUUGGUGCUGC
rnacentral:lncRNA from 12 species